rnacentral:tRNA from 1 species
GGAUGGCGGAACUGGCAGACGCGCCGGACUUAGGAUCCGGUCCCGCAAGGGAUGGGGGUUCAACUCCCCCUCCUCGCA